rnacentral:rRNA from 1 species
UACGAAGGGGGCUAGCGUUGCUCGGAAUUACUGGGCGUAAAGCGCACGUAGGCGGCUUCUUAAGUCGGUGGUGAAAUCCUGGAGCUCAACUCCAGAACUGCCUUCGAUACUGGGAAGCUCGAGUCCGGGAGAGGUGAGUGGAACUGCGAGUGUAGAGGUGAAAUUCGUAGAUAUUCGCAAGAACACCAGUGGCGAAGGCGGCUCACUGGACCACAACUGACGCUGAGGCGCGAAAGCUAGGGGAGCAAACAGG